rnacentral:tRNA from 1 species
GGAAGCGUGCCCGAAAGAUAAGGAC